UACAGAGGGGGCAAGCGUUGUUCGGAAUUACUGGGCGUAAAGGGCGCAUAGGCGGCCUGUUAAGUCGAACGUGAAAUCCCCCGGGCUCAACCCCGGGAACUGCGUCCGAUACUGGCAGGCUUGAAUCCGGGAGAGGGAUGCGGAAUUCCAGGUGUAGCGGUGAAAUGCGUAGAUAUCUGGAGGAACACCGGUGGCGAAGGCGG
rnacentral:rRNA from 1 species